rnacentral:rRNA from 1 species
UCGCUAGUAAUCGCGGAUCAGCACGCCGCGGUGAAUACGUUCCCGGGCCUUGUACACACCGCCCGUCACACCAUGAGAGUCUGUAACACCCAAAGCCGGUGGGAUAACCUUUAUAGGAGUCAGCCGUCUAAGGUAGGACAGAUGAUUAGGGUGAAGUCGUAACAAGGUAUC